UUCAAUCAACCGAGGCCCACAUGCACUCCUCAUCUCUAAAUGCUUUGAAGAUGAAAAAAAUCAGAUUUUUAUUGCCAAGUUCCGCAACUUUAGCUUAGAUUUAUUAACAAGAAAAGCAUCGAUGGUGGCCUAAGGGUGGUGUCAGGUGAAAAUAGCUGACUAUUCGGCGUCGGACAUGACUGUUAUUGACUUGAAUUCAAAGAAGGUUAGUCUUUGAAACAAUUUUGGAUUUAAUUUUUUUGUUUUAAUAUGUUUUAUAUUUUAAAAUCAAAUUGAAAUUUUAUUUCAUUUUAAUCAUAGAUUGGUUUUUUUUUUUUGUUUGAAAAUGAAAAUGGGCUGAAGUGUUGGAGAACAGUUGGCAUUGUGUUGUUCAUAAAAAAAAAUGAUAUCAAAUUGUUGAUGUAUUAGAGAAGAUGCAUGUUGUUUGUUACUUUCAGAUCGUAGCUAUUUGGAUUUUUCAAGUUAAGAGCUAAUCAUAACAUAUGUGUUGGAAAUUAGUGAUUUUUAUGUGACUUCUUUGUCAAAUGAAAAUGGGUUAGCACUGUUAUGAAGAAUAUGGAUGCUAUUUGGAGGAAUUAACUUCUUAACAUGUGCUUGAACUAAAAAUACCAAUGCAUAUUAGAAAUUAGUGAAGUUAUAUGCAUUAAUAAUAUUGGAAAUAAGGGUUUGUUUGUGAUGCUUUAAAGAAGCUGAAAAGGAUAUUGCUUGUGCUCCUUAAUAUGGAGAAUUUUUAGUUGCUUGAUAAAAAAAGCAUUAGUGACAAAUAAAAUGAAGAAAUUUUGGAUGAUGUUUGUGUACAAGAUUUAAAUUAUUUGUUUUAUUGAAGCUGUACUGUGUUUUUAUUUGUGAUUUAACCAUUAAAACGGCUCUGUAACAUUGAUUAGAGGCUGCAUGUGCUCUUUUUAUAAAAAAAGAAGUAGUGGCAUUCCUAAGUGGAGUAAUGAGAUGCUAAGAUGGGAAUGUAUGAAUAUUUAAUUUUGUUCUUGCUUUAAACUAUGACUAUAAAUCCUAAGUCUUCUAAAAUGAAACUCAAUUAUGCUUUUAAGAUGUAAAAAGGCAUCAUUGCCAUUUUUAAGUGACUUUGAUAAUGCUUCAAAUGGAAGUUCGCAUUGGUUUGUCAAAAUCUUUUGUUAAGCAGGGUGAAAUGAUUCAAUUUGCAUUGAAUAUGCGAAAGUUUCUAAGCGAAUAACUUGUGGUCUCAUGUUAUUUUUUUUCAGAUGAUGCUCUAGUGGAGGUCGAAAAGGAAAAGAGAGUCUUUGUUAAAAAAAAAAAAAGCAGGGAACAAAUAUGCCUUUCUAUAAUUGUCUUCCUUUUAACAUGUAUGUCAUGAUUGGUGUGCAUAAAUGACCUUUAUUGACUAAAUAAUAUAAUCAUGAACAAGUAAAAAUAUAAUUUUUUUUAGUACUUUUCCUACUGAUCAUAUGUGAAUUGAAUCAAUUGUGUUGAAAAUGUUGAUCAAGGCAAAAAAGCUCUCAGCCUUUGCUACAUUCGAAAAUAGCAAGAAGGAAUUUUGUAAGCCCAACUGAAAAAGAUUGAGGUAACCUGUCUCUUCUUAUUCUAGAUUCUUUUUUUUUUCUUUGUUUUACUUCCCAUUUCAUCUUCAGCAAAUCUAGUAAUUGGAAGGAAAUAAUUGGAAGGAAAGAAGGCUGAAUAUGCUGAAAAUAUGAAAAAUAAGGCAGCUAUACGU
rnacentral:lncRNA from 1 species